rnacentral:lncRNA from 1 species
UUUUUUUUUUUUUUUCUCCUACUAGGGUGUACUACAGUCUAUUUUAUAGCAAAAAGAGCACUAGACAAACGAAGCUUUAUAACAAAAAGCCAGGCACUGAUACAUGGUAAAUCUCUGCUUUUUUUUUUUUUUCUCUUAUCUUCACUUAAUUGCAUCACAAGUAACAAGAAUGAAAAAGGCCACAGUUCAUAUAUUUUCACCAUUACAUAAGUCUAUAAUACUUGAAAUGAGUAUGGUCAAACCAGCACUGCACAAAUAUGAAUCAACUUCAAGUCCCAUGAGAAAGAACAUGUUUUUGUCCUUUUUUUUUUUAAAAAACAAAACAAAACAAAACAAAAAAACCAAACCAAAAACGAACAGAAAAAAAAAACAAAACAAAACGAAAAGGUAGGGCCCCCCUGGGCCCUGGUGCCCCGCUGUGUUGGAAUUCAUCGUAUUCCACCUCUAGAAUUAUAUUUUUUUUUUUCCAGUCAACCAGUGGACUAAUUUUUUCUUUUUCUUUUUUUUUUUNNNNNNNNNNUCAACCCUCCUCUCCCCGACAACCCUCCUCUUCAUCACCUUCCCCCCCACAACCCCAUGACGUCCCCGACCCUUCGAAACACAAAAAAACCCCAAACUUAGAAAGCCCCCAAACCCCUCGGAAGACUGAAUCAGUACAAGUUGCAUCACUGGUAGGACUGACAGUUGGACAAACGUUUGAAGUGUUCCUUGCAGCUACACAGAAGACAAAUGGUUAAAAAAGUUCGGGAUGGAGAAAUUCCCAACUCAGCCUAUUCCUAAAUCUCUGGAAUGUGGAGGUGGAUCGGGUUCAGAAAAAGCUGCCAAUUCCCUAUUUCUUUCUUUUUUCUUUUUUUGGGGGGGAUUUCUUAGCCUGGUUUUAUUGAUAUUUUUGUUUUUUAAAUGUUUUUUUUCCCAGGGUACAGCUUCCCCAGCUCCGUUCCCCCCUCCCCGCCCCCCCCGGAGAAAGAUGGGCACACUUCACCUGGGCUGGGAAAGAAGGGAAAAAAAAUUAGGAUUACACACUCUGGCUGGGUGUAUUUUGGAAAAUCUCACCUGGUCUGGAGGGGACGCCGGCGGGGACCCCCGUUCUUACAGCCCUGGGGGGGGUAAAAGGGCGCCCACCCCAUCCUUCCCAGCUCUGGGAGCACCAGCAAAAUGAAAAAUAACCCUUUUCCUUCCUUUUUUUUUUGUGUGGUUUUAACUUCCAGAAGUUAAACUCGCCGUUUCUUUACUGUCCACAGAAUUUGAAAUAAAACCCGAAGUUGGUCUUAUCGUCA